ACGCACGCUGGCGGCAUGCCUCACCCCUGCCAGUCGCACGAGACCUUCGGGUCUAGUGGCGCACGGGUGCGUAACGCGUGGGAACCUGCCCUUAGGUUCGGAAUAACUCCCCGAAAGGGGUGCUAAUACCGGAUAAUGUCUUCGGACCAAAGAUUUAUCGCCUUUGGAUGGGCCCGCGUUGGAUUAGCUAGUUGGUAGGGUAAAAGCCUACCAAGGCGACGAUCCAUAGCUGGUCUGAGAGGAUGAUCAGCCACACUGGGACUGAGACACGGCCCAGACUCCUACGGGAGGCAGCAGUGGGAAUAUUGGACAAUGGGCGAAAGCCUGAUCCAGCAAUGCCGCGUGAGUGAUGAAGGCCUUAGGGUUGUAAAGCUCUUUUACCCGGGAUGAUAAUGACAGUACCGGGAGAAUAAGCUCCGGCUAACUCCGUG
rnacentral:rRNA from 1 species